GUGGGUAGUUUGACUGGGGCGGUCUCCUCCUAAAGAGUAACGGAGGAGCACGAAGGUUGGCUAAUCCUGGUCGGACAUCAGGAGGUUAGUGCAAUGGCAUAAGCCAGCUUGACUGCGAGCGUGACGGCGCGAGCAGGUGCGAAAGCAGGUCAUAGUGAUCCGGUGGUUCUGAAUGGAAGGGCCAUCGCUCAACGGAUAAAAGGUACUCCGGGGAUAACAGGCUGAUACCGCCCAAGAGUUCAUAUCGACGGCGGUGUUUGGCACCUCGAUGUCGGCUCAUCACAUCCUGGGGCUGAAGUAGGUCCCAAGGGUAUGGCUGUUCGCCAUUUAAAGUGGUACGCGAGCUGGGUUUAGAACGUCGUGAGACAGUUCGGUCCCUAUCUGCCGUGGGCGCUGGAGAACUGAGGGGGGCUGCUCCUAGUACGAGAGGACCGGAGUGGACGCAUCACUGGUGUUCGGGUUGUCAUGCCAAUGGCACUGCCCGGUAGCUAAAUGCGGAAGAGAUAAGUGCUGAAAGCAUCUAAGCACGAAACUUGCCCCGAGAUGAGUUCUCCCUGAGACUUAGAGUCUCCUGAAGGAACGUUGAAGACGACGACGUUGAUAGGCCGGGUGUGUAAGCGCAGCGAUGCGUUGAGCUAACCGGUACUAAUGAACCGUGAGGCUUAACCUUACAACGCCGAAGCUGU
rnacentral:rRNA from 1 species